rnacentral:rRNA from 1 species
GAUGAACGCUGGCGGCGUGCCUAAUACAUGCAAGUCGAGCGAACGGACGAGAAGCUUGCUUCUCUGAUGUUAGCGGCGGACGGGUGAGUAACACGUGGAUAACCUACCUAUAAGACUGGGAUAACUUCGGGAAACCGGAGCUAAUACCGGAUAAUAUUUUGAACCGCAUGGUUCAAAAGUGAAAGACGGUCUUGCUGUCACUUAUAGAUGGAUCCGCGCUGCAUUAGCUAGUUGGUAAGGUAACGGCUUACCAAGGCAACGAUGCAUAGCCGACCUGAGAGGGUGAUCGGCCACACUGGAACUGAGACACGGUCCAGACUCCUACGGGAGGCAGCAGUAGGGAAUCGUCCGCAAUGGGCGAAAGCCUGACGGAGCAACGCCGCGUGAGUGAUGAAGGUCUUCGAAUCGUAAAACUCUGUUAUUAGGGAAGAACAUAUGUGUAAGUAACUGUGCACAUCGUGACGGUACCUAAUCAGAAAGCCACGGCUAACUACGUG